UUGUAGGCGAGCCUACUGAAGACUGUCACUGAGACAGGGGCAUAAGCUCUUGGCCUGGCAGAUCCUAGCACUAGUAACCAGGCAGUGUUCCUUGGAAGUGGGGGUUUUGCAAAGGAGGUUACUGGGUUGCAGGCCUCAGGCAUCCUACCUAGGACCUUCUUGACCAUCUGGAUGCCUGACCAUACCAACAACCCUUAGACUGCCUUCAGUGACAUCAGUCAGUGCCCUGGAUUGGCUUUUGGGGAAGCCUUCCUCCCCACCGCUGAAUCAGGAAGGAGCAAAGCCAGGACCCAGGCUGGCCCCAGGGCCCAUAUGUGGUCUAACCUGUUCUGCCAUUUUCAUUGAUCUAGGCGGGAUUAAGGACACUGCAUGACAUUGGGCCAGAAAUCCGGCGUGCUAUAUCGUGUGAUUUGCAAGAUGACGAGCCUGAGGAAACAAAACGAGAAGAAGAAGAUGAUGUGUUCAAAAGAAAUGGUGCCCUGCUUGGAAACCAUGUCAAUCAUGUUAAUAGUGAUAGGAGAGAUUCCCUUCAGCAGACCAAUACCACCCACCGUCCCCUGCAUGUCCAAAGGCCUUCAAUUCCACCUGCAAGUGAUACUGAGAAACCGCUGUUUCCUCCAGCAGGAAAUUCGGUGUGUCAUAACCAUCAUAACCAUAAUUCCAUAGGAAAGCAAGUUCCCACCUCAACAAAUGCCAAUCUCAAUAAUGCCAAUAUGUCCAAAGCUGCCCAUGGAAAGCGGCCCAGCAUUGGGAACCUUGAGCAUGUGUCUGAAAAUGGGCAUCAUUCUUCCCACAAGCAUGACCGGGAGCCUCAGAGAAGGUCCAGUGUGAAAAGAACCCGCUAUUAUGAGACUUACGUUAGGUCCGACUCAGGAGAUGAACAGCUCCCAACUAUUUGCCGGGAAGACCCAGAGAUACAUGGCUAUUUCAGGGACCCCCACUGCUUGGGGGAGCAGGAGUAUUUCAGUAGUGAGGAAUGCUACGAGGACGACAGCUCGCCCACCUGGAGCAGGCAAAACUAUGGCUACUACAGCAGAUACCCAGGCAGAAACAUCGACUUUGAGAGGCCCCGAGGCUACCAUCACCCUCAAGGAUUCUUGGAGGACGAUGACUCGCCCGUUUGCUAUGAUUCACGGAGAUCUCCAAGGAGACGCCUACUACCUCCCACCCCAGCAUCCCACCGGAGAUCCUCCUUCAACUUUGAGUGCCUGCGCCGGCAGAGCAGCCAGGAAGAGGUCCCGCUGUCUCCCAUCUUCCCCCACCGCACGGCCCUGCCUCUGCAUCUGAUGCAGCAACAGAUCAUGGCAGUUGCCGGCCUAGAUUCAAGUAAAGCCCAGAAGUACUCACCGAGUCACUCGACCCGGUCGUGGGCCACCCCUCCAGCAACCCCUCCCUACCGGGACUGGACACCGUGCUACACCCCCCUGAUCCAAGUGGAGCAGUCAGAGGCCCUGGACCAGGUGAACGGCAGCCUGCCGUCUCUGCACCGCAGCUCCUGGUACACAGACGAGCCCGACAUCUCCUACCGGACUUUCACACCAGCCAGCCUGACCGUCCCCAGCAGCUUCCGGAACAAAAACAGCGACAAGCAGAGGAGCGCGGACAGCUUGGUGGAGGCAGUCCUGAUAUCCGAAGGCUUGGGACGCUAUGCAAGGGACCCAAAAUUUGUGUCAGCAACAAAACACGAAAUCGCUGAUGCCUGUGACCUCACCAUCGACGAGAUGGAGAGUGCAGCCAGCACCCUGCUUAAUGGGAACGUGCGUCCCCGAGCCAACGGGGAUGUGGGCCCCCUCUCACAUCGGCAGGACUAUGAGCUACAGGACUUUGGUCCUGGCUACAGCGACGAAGAGCCAGACCCUGGGAGGGAUGAGGAGGACCUGGCAGAUGAAAUGAUAUGCAUCACCACCUUGUAGCCCCCAGCAAGGGGCAGACUGGCUCUGGCCUCAGGUGGGGCGCGGGAGAGCCAGGGGAAAAGUGCCUCAUAGUUAGGAAAGUUUAGGCACUAGUUGGGAGUAAUAUUCAAUUAGACUUUUGUAUAAGAGAUGUCAUGCCUCAAGAAAGCCAUAAACCUGGUAGGAACAGGUCCCAAGUGGUUGAGCCUGGCAGAGCACCAUGCGCUCGGCCCCAGCUGCAGGAAACAACAGGCCCCGCCCUCUCACAGAGGAUGGGUGAGGAGGCCAGACCCGCCCUGCCCCAUUGUCCAGAUGGGCACUGCUGUGGAGUCUGCUUCUCCCAUGUACCAGGGCGCCAGGCCCACCCACCUGAAGGCAUGGCGGCGGGGUGCAGGGGAAAGUUAAAGGUGAUGACGAUCAUCACACCUGUGUCAUUACCUCAGCCAUUGGUCUAGCAUAUCAGUCACUGGGUCCAGCAUAUCCAUUUUUAAACCCUUUCCCCCAAAUACACUGCAUCCUGGUUCCUGUUUAGCUGUUCUGAAAUACAGUGUGUAAGUCAGAACCCAGCUACCAGCGAUCAUUGUGAGGGCAAUGGGACCUUAUAAAUAAGGUUUUCUGUGAUGUGAUGCCAGUUUACAUAAGAGAAUAUCACUCCGAUGGUCGGUUUCUGACUGUCACGCUAAGGGCAACUGUAAACUGGAAUAAUAAUGCACUCGCAACCAGGUAAACUUAGAUACACUAGUUUGUUUAAAAUUAUAGAUUUACUGUACAUGACUUGUAAUAUACUAUAAUUUGUAUUUGUAAAGAGAUGGUCUAUAUUUUGCAAUUACUGUACCGUAUUUGAACUGCAGCAAUAUCCAUGGGUCCUAAUAAUUGUAGUUCCCCACUGAAAUCUAGAAAUUAUUAGUAUUUUUACUCGGGCUAUCCAGAAGGAGAAGAAAUAGAGCCAAUUCUCAUUUAUUCAGCGAAAAUCCUCUGGGGGUAAAAUUUUAAGUUUGAAAGAACUUGACACUACAGAAAUUUUUCUAAAAUAUUUUGAGUCACUAUAAACCUAUCUUUCCACAAGAUAUACCAGAUGACUAUUUGCAGUCUUUUCUUUGGGCAAGAGUUCCAUGAUUUUGAUACUGUACCUUUGGAUCCACCAUGGUUUGCAACUGUCUUUGGUUUUGUUUGACUUGAACCACCCUCUGAUAAGUGAAUUACAGAGCAGGUCCAGCUGGCUGUUCUGCCCCUAGGGUAUCCAUAGUUCUGGUUUUCUCUGCUGCCCACCCAGGGUGUUUUUUGCAUCGCUGGUGCAGAAAUGCAUAGGUGGAUGAAGUAUAGCUGCUCUUGUCCUCUGGGGACUGGUGGUGCUGCUUAAGAAAUAAGGGGUGCUGGGGUGGGGGGGGGACGGAGGAGCAACAUGGUGAUCUAUAGGAUUGGAGUGUCGGGGUCUGUACAAAUCGUAUUGUUGCCUUUUACAAAACUGCUGUACUGUGUGUUCUCUUUGAGGGCUUUUAUAUGCAAAUGAACGAGGGCUGAAGUUUUCAUUAGAAUGCACUGACACGCUGACUGUACGUCCUGAUGAAAACCCACUUUUGGAUAAUUAGAACUGUCAAGGCUUCCUUUUCUGUCAACAGAAUUAGGCCAACUGUCAAGUUACCUUGGCAGGGAUUCCCUGCAAUCAAAAAGAUAGGUAGCGAUUUUGGUCCAAAAUUUUUAAUAGUAUACAGACAACCUGUUCAUGUUUUUUUUUGUUUUGUUUUUGUUUUUUUUUGUAAAUAACACCACUUCGUUAUGAAGACCUUACAAACCUCUUCUUAAGACAUUCUUACUCUGAUCCAGGCAAAAACACUUCAAGGUUUGUAAAUGACUCUUUCCUGACAUAAAUCCUUUUUUAUUAAAAUGCAAAAUGUUCUUCAGAAUAAAACUGUGUAAUAAUUUUUAUACUUGGGAGCGCUCCUUGCACAGAGCUGGCAUUUGCCAGUGAGAACCUCCGACGGGGCAGGUACUGUGCCAGGGCAGCUCUGAAAUUAUGGAUAUUCUUAUCCUCCUGGUUCCUUCGGUGCCAAUGGUAACCUAAUACCAGCUGCAGGGAGCGCCAUUUCUCCUAAAGGGCUACACCACUGUCAACAUUAUCUUGGACUCUGUGUCUCUCUCUGUUGGGUCUUGGUCUUACUGUGUGGCAUCACGUCGGGCCAAAAUUGCCAGACCAGGACCCUAAGUGUCUGGUAGAGGCGAUGAUCUUUUCCAAAGUCAGUACUUACAAACUGGCGUUCUUACAGGCUGCACCAUUUCCUAGUAUCUGUCUGCUUUAAGCCUGGUUCAACCUCUCAUCG
rnacentral:sRNA from 1 species